CGCGUAGGCGGUGAACACAGUUAGGUGUGAAAUUCCCGGGCUCAACCUGGGGGCUGCGUUUAAUACAUGUUCGCUUGAGUUCGGAAGAGGGUCGUGGAAUUCCCAGUGUAGAGGUGAAAUUCGUAGAUAUUGGGAAGAACACCGGUGGCGAAGGCGGCGACCUGGUCCGAUACUGACGCUGAGGCGCGAAAGCGUGGGGAGCAAACA
rnacentral:rRNA from 1 species